CUAUACUCUCAUAGUCUCUAGAUGCGAUGUUUAAGUGUCUUAAAGAAGAUUCACAUGGAGAAAGUGGACCUCUCUAGAAAAGGAAAUGGCAUGCCUUCUACCAGGUUCCUGCUUUUAUCCUUUCAGAAAAUUCAAGAAACCAAAGUUUUUGAGUUCCAGCAGUGGCUGCUCUCAUUCCUGCCAGAAUCCCAUUCCGUUCUCUGUGCUCUCUCUGGCCUUAUGAAUCUUGGCAGAGGGCUACUCUCCUAUGGUGAUGACUCCCAUAUUAAUUUCAGUCUUUUCAAGACUUACUUGCUAAUUAAAAUGUGAAACAGUUUUUAUCCCUUUAAUUAAGACACAAGAUGGGAAGCAUAAUUUAAUUUGGUCCAUUGAAACUAUCAGUAUUAUUAGCUCCAUAACUUGCUUCCAUGAAAGAUGCCUAUGUUAAACAAUAUAUUUUUUUUUUCCUCCCACGCUCACUGGAGUUUUGGUAUGUGCCCUCAGUCCUGAAACCACCGUGGGAGUUUGUGAACUGUGGUCCCAUUGAAAAGGCACCGAAUGGAAGCUGGAGCCAUCAAGGACAUUGGCUGUAGGACCCUGUGUUCAGAAAUCCUGCCAUGCUGAACGCCUCAAUGACAGAAGAAACCUCCUUCAGCAGUUGGCAGCAGGCCACUUCUAGCCCCUCCACCCAGGAGGCCUGUGACACAGUGGCCCCAUUGUUCAGGCUGCCUGAGCUCCUCUGCAUUGCCAUUGCAAUGCUGACACUGGCCACCUGAGCUCUGUUUGCCAUCUUUUUAUCUUUCGGCUCUGACUAUGCUGUGGCCACUCAGAGUAGGGAUGGGCCAGGGCAGCAAGAGGCAGGGGAGGUGGGUGACAGCAGUGGCAAUGGCAGCAGGGUGGCCUGACAAACACACACUUGAAGAAAUGGACCAGCAGAAACGAAGGCUUUUGUGCGCCAGGCCUUGCAACCUCCCCACUCGUGGUUGCUGACCUCACAGGACAUCAUCAGAGCCUGACGUAUUUCCCAAUGGCUGUCAUCUGCCCAUGGAUUACUCCCAAGCCUGUGUCUCCAUUUUGCCCUUUGUCCUCAACUCCAGAUCAAUUUAUCCUGCUACUUCCUCCUGAAGGUCCUCCAAGACUCAGCAAACUCACACACUCAAAUCUGCAUUCUCUGUAUUGCCCCUAAGUCUGAUCCUCCGCACUGGUUUCCCAUCACUGUGCAAGUGUCAUGCAAGUUGGAAACAAAAGUCCAUCCUUGACUCUGCCUGGGCCAUAUCUCACAUCCCAUCAAUCAUCCAGCCCAGCCAAUUCCAUCUCCUAAAAGUAUUUCCAAUCCGUCCUCCUCUCUCCACUCCUGCUGCAAUCAUUCCAGUACACUUCCUCCCAGCAUCUCACAUCCAGAUUGUUUCCACACUCCCUACUGGUCUUUUUGUGCUGAUCUUCCCCCAGCCUCUAAUCCAUCUGCCUGGAACACCCUUUUCCUCUUGUUCCUCUGGUAAACUCUCCUCCUCCUAAGCCUUCCUCCUUUGUGAAGCCUUUAAUGAUUUCCCACAUAAUAUGAGGCACACACCCUCAUCUCACCCCGUGCGCCCCAGCUGCUGGCAUCCAUACCCUCAUCAGAGCCCUGGCCACAUGACAUGACACUGGCUGUUGGCACACCCUUCUCCCACAGGGCUCCCCGAGAGCAGGGGCUCCCAGUGCCCUAAUCAAUUCUUGGCAAACAGUUAAUGUUUCAUAAGUGUUUAGUUGAACUAAUGAAUUCUACAAUAAAGAGGCCAGGGGUCUUUAUCAAAAUCCCUUUCCUCCCAGAUCUGAAAGGCUGGAAAUUAGGGUUUGUGUUGGGUCUCUUAAUUACAGAUCCAAAACACCUAAGUCCUUUAGCUACCGAAUCUGUCUGGCCCAAGCAUGUCCCUCUCUCAAUAGCCAGGAAACACUUUGUAAAUAAAUUCCUUGUCUCAAGUCCCAUUUUAUUGUUUUAAUUCUUUAGAAUUGGAGUGAGAUCUCCACUCUCAGUGUCUCAAUACCUAGUAUUCCAGGUGGAUGAGUGAAGCACAGUUACAGUGUUGUGUUCGACUCUUCAGGUCCUACUGUCAGGGAAGAUGGGUUGCUUCUCUCAGCUCAAAGCUCCAUUCGUGUGAGGAGAAAGGCCUUCCACUCAACCCAGAGCUCCCACUUGCAAACAGUCAGUGUUUGAGAAAGAUAUUAACAAACAAAUUAAUCAACCAAUGUUACCUGCACCCACAGGUGUAACUUGCUUCUAUGGAAAUCACAGAAUUCUCUCUCAGUGAUGCUUAGACACAAGGAGUUCUCCAGAGCACUUAUCGGUGCUAGAGGAGAAUAUUUGUGACUUGGGUAGCAAAAUGCACAAUUUGUCUCUGUGGUUUAGACUUUUACUCACCCUCUCUGUUGCAAUGGUUUUCUUCCAGCCUGAUUCCUUCCUUGCUUUCUGUCCCCUGAGUCUUGGCAGGGAGAGAAUGACUUCCUUUUCUCUUUUUCCUCUGUGAUUCCUAUGACUUCUCCAAAGCCCAGAGCUCUCCAGGGGGAAGAAACAAGCUUGCUUUUCUAUUUUAUAUUUCAACUUCCUUUUGUUUUAUCACAACAUCAGCUGCAACCUCCCCACUGCAGUCAAAACUGUUGUUCUUAACUGUACUCCAGCAUUUAAAUCUAUGUGGGAUACAUUCUCUCUACCAUAUCUACAUAGUCACUCACUAAUCCUUUCUCCCUCCCUUCUUCCCUCCCUCCCACAUUCCUUCCCUUCCUUCCUUCCUUUAUUCCUUCUUUUCCUCCUUUCUUCCAUCCAUUCAUCUACUCAUCCAUCCACCCAUCCAUCCACUAAUCCAUUCCUUUAUUGAGCAGUCACUGAGCUGGGCACAGGGAAUGAUGAAAUGAAUAAACACAGGCCCAGCACCAAAGGAGCUCAUAAUCUGGAGAGGGAAAUGGAAAUUUUUACAAUUGUUCAUAAAGAGUAUGAAGAGAGUGGUGUGACAAUCCAAGGGAGAGGAUGAUUAAUUUUAGGGAGUAUAAGAAGAAUAAAUCAAAGAGAUGACAUUUGAACUGAGUAUUGAAUAUGAAGAAGAAGGGGAAAAUGCCACUCAGAAAAAAUAGCCACUGCAAUGACUUAGAGACUUAAAAUAACAGGGUAUGAAAUAGAAAAAAAAAAUGUCAAGAAGCUCAGUAUGAUUGGAGGAAAGGAGGCACAUAUGAGAGGAAUUUCCAGUAAGGCUAAAGGAACACUGGCCAGAUUUGGAGAAUCCCAAAUGUCAGAGUAAGGUCUCUGGACUUUUUUCUAGAAACCAUAGGAAGCCAUUGGUGGCAGGUCAGCAGUUGGAAAAAUGGCUCUGGCUGCAGAGAAUCAACAGGAAAGGGGCUAGAUAGGAGGUGGAAGGCCAGUUAAGAGGUUGGCACAAUGGACCGAAUGAGAGAUGAGGCCUGGAGUAAAGGCAUGGAGAGGGUGGGAUGACAAGGGGACUGUGGAGGGGAGGCUGCCUCUUUGCAUGUCGAAAGUAAGAUGCCUGUCUCAAAGGAGCCAGAUAAAUAAAUGCUUCUUGUGCUGUAGCCAGAGAGUUUGGUAAGGCCUGCUCAUGGCCCAGCUGUCUGCAAAAUGCUCCAAGUCUUGCCUGGCUCUCAGGAGAAGCAAGCCCUCUGCCAGCCUUAAAUUAAUGACUCUUCUAGGGAAAUGCACUGCUGCCUGCACCAGUGGCCCUGCCUAUGUCCACGUUAGAACCCAUUAGUAAGGCUGUCCCACUGGGCUAGAGCAAACGACAAGGUAACAGUCAAAAGAUGGCUCUUGGUCCCUCCAUAUGAGGUGACCUGCUUUCUAUAUCUACAAGCCCUGUUGGAAAACAGAGCCCAGGGUGGGAUAAGUCACACAUUCUCUUUUUCUCGGUCUCACACCCUUAGAAUUCAACAUUAUUUUUUCAUCAACAAGCAAUUCACUUAUUAAUUCUGUUUCCUUCUAUUGAUAUUGAAAGGUUCUUGUUGUUCAAAUAUAAAGGACCAUCCAGAGUGACAAACAGCUACAGAGAAAACUUGGGUUUUCAUUCUGAGGAGAAAAAGGAAUCAAGAGCUCUUCAAAAUAGUAUGAAACAAGGGGAUAAAAUUUCUCCCACACCCACUGAGUUUAGGACAGUGAUCUUUUUCAUGCAUUAUCUCAUUCUAUCUUCUCAAUAGCUCGUGAAGUGAGUUAUGAUUCCCAUUUAACAGAUGGAGAAACUGAGGCACAAAGAGGUUAGGCCACUUGCCCAAUGUCACUCUGCUGCUGGUUUGAAGAGCCAGAGUUUAAAUCCAAAUCUGCCUCAUUUUGAAUGUCCUGUUGGUUUCGCUGCAUUAUGUCACCUCAGAGUGGCAGUGUGGAGGGUAAUGAGAGCAUGGGUGGGAGGUCAGAGACUGAGAAUUACCCAAAUUUAGACUUGCAAGACUUAAAUCCUGGACCCCCUUAAUAGUCUGUGACCUCAGACAAAUCAUGUGGCUUAAGUAAGCAUCAGUUUCACCUGUAAAGUGAGGGGUAGAUUGGAUGAUCCAGGUCCACAGUUCUAUGUUUCUAAUUCAAGUAAGAGAGUGAACUCACUGUUGAAUGAAUAAAGAUUUACAGAUAGCAUUUUUACUUUAAUGUUGGAAUGUUGGCAUGUGUUAUAAAAAUAAAAUGGCCUG
rnacentral:lncRNA from 1 species